UACAGAGGAGCCAAGCGUUGUCCGGAUUGACUGGGCGUAAAGCGCACGCAGGCGGUUGCGCGCGUGGGGUGUGAAAUCUGGCCGCUUAACGGCCAGGCGCCAUCCCAUACGGCGCGACUGGAGUGAUGCAGAGGUCGAUGGAAUUGCCGGUGUAGUGGUGAAAUGCGUAGAGAUCGGCAGGAACACCCAGGGGGAAACCAGUCGCCUGGGCAUGCGCUGACGCUGAGGUGCGAGAGCGUGGGGAGCGAACCGG
rnacentral:rRNA from 1 species